UACGUAGGGGGCAAGCGUUGUCCGGAAUCAUUGGGCGUAAAGCGCGUGUAGGCGGCCCGAUAAGUCCGCUGUGAAAGUCCAGGGCUCAACCCUGGGAUGCCGGUGGAUACUGUCGGGCUCGAGUCCGGAAGAGGCGAGUGGAAUUCCUGGUGUAGCGGUGAAAUGCGCAGAUAUCAGGAGGAACACCGAUGGCGAAGGCAGCUCGCUGGGACGGUACUGACGCUGAGGCGCGAAAGCGUGGGGAGCAAACAGG
rnacentral:rRNA from 1 species